CUUCACGGAGCCGAGGAGCAGCGGCCGGUCGGCCGGGCGCUCCUUGCCGUAGGUGGCGAUGAGGGCCUGGGCCUC
rnacentral:antisense_RNA from 1 species